rnacentral:pre_miRNA from 1 species
GAAGUACUCCCUCCGUUCGGAAUUACUUGUCUCGGAAAUGGAUGUAUUUAGAACUAAAAUACGUCUAGAUACAUCCAUUUCUGUGACAAGUAAUUCCGAACGGAGGGAGUAUGAA